rnacentral:ncRNA from 2 species
UGAAGGUAGUAGGGAGAGACUGCGAGUAAUAUCUGUGCAGCGCCGAAGGAGCAAACCAGGAAUGGUGAAUCUCUCAGGCAAAAGAACCUCUACUGGAC